rnacentral:misc_RNA from 1 species
GAGAGAGGGAUACCUAAAAUUCUUAAGCGGGUUCGAGCUGUUUUCGAUAAAGUGGGUAUCAAGAACGAAGAGUCGGUAGUUAUUAGGGUAACCGGCUGCCCCAAUGGUUGCGCGAGACCGUAUAUGGCUGAGCUCGGGCUGGUUGGUGACGGCCCCAACAGUUACCAGAUCUGGCUUGGGGGGAUGCCUAACCAGACUUCACUAGCGAAGUCCUUCAUGAAUAAGGUGAAGAUCCAAGAUCUAGAGAAGGUCAUGGAGCCGCUGUUCUACAGCUGGAACAAAACAAGACUUCAGGGUGAAUCAUUUGGUAGCUUCACAAACCGGAUUGGGUUUGAGAAACUCAAGGAGACUGUCCAAACAUGGGAAGUUGCCAGUGAAACAGCA